rnacentral:rRNA from 1 species
UACGUAGGGUGCGAGCGUUGUCCGGAAUUAUUGGGCGUAAAGGGCUCGUAGGCGGUUUGUCACGUCGGGAGUGAAAACUCAGGGCUUAACCCUGAGCCUGCUUUCGAUACGGGCAGACUAGAGUUCGGUAGGGGAGUCUGGAAUUCCUGGUGUAGCGGUGAAAUGCGCAGAUAUCAGGAGGAACACCGGUGGCGAAGGCGGGACUCUGGGCCGAUACUGACGCUGAGGCACGAAAGCAUGGGGAGCAACAGG